rnacentral:rRNA from 1 species
GACGGAAGGUGCAAGCGUUGCUCGGAAUCACUGGGCGUAAAGGGUGCGUAGGCGGCUUGGUGGGUCUGGUGUGAAAGCCCCGGGCUCAGCCCGGGAAGGGCACUAGAAACUGCCGAGCUGGAGUGCCGGAGGGGAGAGUGGAAUUCCUGGUGGUAGCGGUGAAAUGCGUAGAUAUCUGGAAGGAACACCGGUGGCGAAGGCGGCCAUCCUGGACCAA